rnacentral:lncRNA from 1 species
GGUGGCUCUCCAUUUCUAAAUGACUGGCAGAAAAGAGACAACCUUGGGAAGCCAUCCAGUUCCUCUUGCAUAGGUAAUUCCAAGCCAGCAGCCUAUUGUUAAUAAUUGCUAGCCACAUGGAUUUUAACUUUCUCUGGGACUGGGCACUUCCACAGAGAGUUGGCAUUGACUAUCUGAAAUGAGUCCUCCAUUGUUGAUAAACUUACUGAAGAAUCUAACUGAGAAUAUAAGAGUCAUCCCAUCUCCACCUGCAAAUGACAUUCCCUGAGGUAAGACAGACCUCUUCAAGUAUGUUUCAUAAUUUGGGUUAAGUCAUCCUCUACCAAAAUUUAGAAGAUUAUAAGGUUCGGCAGACCGUAAUUUUCUACCGUUGCUGAUUCCAGCUUGUUUGUAGACCAGACCAUCCUCUUUAUCACAUAUUUUAAAAAGCCUAGGGAAUUAAGUACACAGAAGGUGUCUGCCAACCAUCAACCCUAGAACCAACUGGACGACUUCUACAACCUGAGGCAGAUCUCCUUCUUUAAUAGUAGUGGCUUAUCACGAUCUGGUUCCUCCCAGGCGGUUUUGUACCUUGUAAGAUUUUCACCACCACUUACCUAGCAAGGCAAUGUCGAAAUGCAUUGAGGUUUUUAUCAUCCAAGCCUUCCUCUCCCUUCUCUUUACAGUGUUCGUGACUCUCAACAGAAAGCUUCUUAGGGAUGAAGAUAAUCGACAUAAAACACGUUGGCCAUCUACUUUUUCUGGACUUAACCUUUAUUCAUCAAGAUUGUUUAGCAUGUCUUCCACAAUAUGAGAUUUUUGAUGGUGAUUUAGGAAGCUAUUCUUAAUCUGUAAGCUGUACUUGUGCUUCUUGAUGUAAUUCUGACUGUUCAUAACUGUUUCUCAAGUCAAAAUGUUUAAAAACUCAAUUUUCCAGGUGUUAUUUAUAUAUCAGACUUCUAAUGUUUCUGUUUACCUGGAUAUGAAGGUCUUAGCUCACUUGGAUGGAGCUCGCAAUCCAUUUCCAUCCUCAUUAUACGAUUUCUAUGUUCUUAUUGAGACCACUGGUAGUGACGAGUCAUAUGAUAAGUAAGUCAGACACCUCGAUAUUUGACAAUCACGACCUCUGUUUAUUGUGUAACAUGCUUUCUCUAAUAUGUACCUUAUAUCAUGUUAUUCAAGGCAUUUAUCCUUUCUUGUUUUUGUUUAGUUUCCAACUUAUGUUUUUUUUGAAUUUCCGAGCAAUGACAACCUCAUGUAAUAUAACUGGUGGCUCCUUGCAGAUUAUGUCAGUAUAAAAACUUGUAUGUUUUUUCUUAUUGCUAAUGUAGGUAAUUUCUUUUGGGAAAUAGUGGAACCACAUGUAUAUUGCUAUAAAAGAAAAGACGACACUAUGAUAAUCGAGCCUUUGCUCUUCGGCGACAUUACUAUGGUUGGAAGAAAAAGAUACCGAGUAGACAAACCAUGAAAAGGAAGCAAGCAGACCUAAGACACAAAGU